AGCCCACCUCAAAUGCUACUUUCUCUGCAAUGUCUUCCUUUGUCCCCCCAAUUUAUAAAAACAGAAAAACCUUCACCACUCCACCUCUGUUCCUGGAUCUUAUCUAUAAUCUUUUUUUCAGCACAUUCUUAACAAUGAUACAUUAUUUUGUAUUAUAUUUGUUUGUGCACAUAUCAAUCCACUACUUGAUUGCCAUAAGGACAGUGUUUAAUCUAAGCUUUGUAUUUCUUCCUAGGAAACUAAUUAAAUAGAAUUAACACAGUAGAGAUUGUGACCAGACAAAAAACACUUUUAGUUGAACCUGUUUAAAACAACUGGUCAUCUGAACCAGUUCCCUGACACCAAAGACAAGCACCUACUGAAUCUACUGAAUCAUAAGGAUCAGAGCUCUCCAGUUGGAAGGUCUCCAAAGUUUCUCCAUGGUCUCAGGACAUUUGUAUAUCCCAAGUUAAGAGUUCCUUCCUGGAUAGAAUUCUCCUCAGACAACUUAUCUUUGACAAAUGGUAAGCUUUAUAUAGAAAGAUUUCAUCUCUUCAUUUUCCGUCAGUAGCUCUCUUGGUUUAUACUCCACUGAACACCAUGCAUCUCUAUUUUUUGUGCAUAACAUUCCUCUAUUAGAUUGUAAUCUCCUGUAACCCAAGGAUUAUUUCUUUUUCUUAUUUGUA